AAAACAUAAAAAAAUUGUGUGUUUUUUUUUAAAGUUUUCCUGUGGUUAAAAUUCAUACUACUAUGGAAAUAAUAAUAGUGAACCAUGAUAAUAUUUGUCGUCGGUCCAAUUCCGAACGUAGAUUGAAAAUUUCAGUAAGGUCCAGUGGGUCCCACUACACGAGGCGACAUGACAUGUCAGCACGGAGGCCGUCGUGACGCACAGCGACAGCGGAGGGGGCUCCGCGUUGCGUUUCGCUUCACGGCUUCCGUUUGGAAAAUGGCGCAUUAUGAUUGGUCAGUCAUUCUUGCUACCUGUCACGCUUUUAUAAAAAAAGAAAAGAAAAGGUCAAAUAAUAUAUAUAUAUAUAUAUAUUAAAAGGUGAAACUUUUCUUCAACAUCUAAAUAGAAGAAUUUCCUCUCGUGCUUCGCCAUCACUGGAACGCGCCUACGAGGCCGGACCGUUCUUCUCCUCUUCACUCCUCCCUUUUUUCUCAUCGAUAAAACCCACGAGAAAAAUUCGACCCUUUCUCUCUCUCACGUUUUCGAUCAUCUUGGGAUUUCCUCGAAGUCUGGUGGGUCGUCUCGUUUCUCUCCCAAUUUCAGUUUCUUCUUCAUCAGAGACCCGUUGAGAG